rnacentral:rRNA from 1 species
CGAGAGCGUAUAUUAAAGUUGUUGCAGUUAAAAAGCUCGUAGUUGGAUUUCUGGUAUAAUGCGCCUGGCCCGCUCCGUUUCGGAGUGAGUGCCGGUGCGCGUUUGCCAUCCUUCUAGAAAACGUUUCUACCCUUCGCUGGGCCGGAUUCGCGAUCUAGAUCUUUUACUUUGAAAAAAUUAGAGUGUUUAAAGCAGGCUUUUGCUAUGAAUACAUUAGCAUGGAAUAAUAAUCUAGGACUUCGGUUCUAUUUUGUUGGUUUCUAGUACUGAAGUAAUGAUUGAUAGGGAUAGUUGGGGGUGCUAGUAUUGACCGGCCAGAGGUGAAAUUCUUGGAUUCGGUCAAGACUAACUUAUGCGAAAGCAUUCACCAAGGAUGUCUUCUUUAA